GAACAAAGAGGAAAAUACAGAGAGAGAUGGAUUCAGUCGACCCGUCUUCGUUGAAGACAAACCUUUGAACUCAUUUUGUUUUUGUUUUGUUUGUUUGGGUUUUUCCCCUUUAUUCCCUGAAUACCGAGCUGGACAUGAACUUUACUGUGUGCAAAGUUCGCAAAAUGAAGUUUCAUCACGUCGGAAACGCCGCUAACAAACGGAGCUAAGCYACAGCGUUGUCAAGAACAACCCAAAUGAUUGGAGUUAAUUGUCGGCUGCAGCUGCAGCAGGUGGGUGUUGACUCUGGAUCCAUCAGACGGAGCGAAACUCCAGCCUGAACGAGACGAGGAGUCGUCUCACCCGGGGGAAACGUUCAUCUGGGUCACAUGAUCAACAACAGGAAGUUACCACUGCGAGAAACGACGAAGAAGACGACAACAGGAAGUGGUUGAAGUAUCAUGGCUGGUGACUUAUUCCAUGAACAAACUUAUUCACGUGUGAUUUUAAUUGUGUUUCUUAUUUAAUGGAAAUACCGCACUUGCAACAUUGUUUUUUUUGUUUGUUUUGUUUUUUUUACAUUUAUUAACAUAGUUCUUCAAACAUUUGUGCAGGAAAUGCAGCUUUUGAGUCGCAGCAAUUAAAGCCCCACAAACACAAACACCGCUCUUGAAAAGCAUUCCUAUUWGUAAAACAUUUAUUUAGGAGACCAGUCACAGAAAGAAGUCUUGAUUUGUAUCUGCACACUUUAUGUCCUAAUUUAUUGCUGUUAAUUGAUGUUUUAAUUGAACAAACAGUGGAGAAAAAUAGUAAAACAAACAAUAAAAACUUUAUGGACAUGUUAAACAUCGUAAACUGGAAUUUAUUGUGACAACAGCAGCAAGAUCUCCUCUAUAAUCUGACAAAAGCAGAAAGGGUGUACUUAGUUUUUAAAAACAUCAUCGUCCUUUUCACCUCCAGCCUCUUCAGAGUGAAUACUCCACAACCCAAAGCUCCACUUGGAGAUUUAUUCAAUCCGUUAUCCCACUUUGGCUUUUGGCUUCGCUUUAAACACUAAAAUCAAAUAGGAAAAAAAGACGCGUAUCUGUUGGGUUCGUUCCUCUCUGGGUGGAAAUCAUCCCGCUGUUCAGUCGCAGCUCCUGAGUCUCUGGAUGUUAUCAGGAGGUUGAUGCCCAGAGGGAAGCGGCUCAGGCCUUCACAGUGGGAUGUCUGCUACGUGGCAGCUAUCACCAAGGCCAUCUGACUUCUGGGAUCACCGAGGGCAACUUUCCCGCUUUCUUCUGCUCCGUGAGAGCUGAGCUGAAACCAGAGGGGAAAUCUGAGCCGCAACAAAGCUGGUGAUGUCUGAGGCUGAGGAGGAGCGUGUGGCGCGGGGCCGUAACGGACGUUGGCGGGUUGACAGGAGAGCACGGCCUCCACGGAUUGACCCACUAACUAAAGACAAAAGAGUGAUGAUUUGAGGCUUUCCUUCCCCCCCCCGAAGCUGAACGGACCAGCAGCGCCGGCCGGCCCAGUUCUGGAGGCUCACAUGAAUGAAGCAUUCAGGCUUUUAGCAGAGAGCAACAACAACCAGGCCUCAAAUAAGAAGCGCAGUGUUUAUUAUCAGACAGCAGGACUGGAAAUCACACGAGGUGGAACCAGCUCCAGAGCUAAACUGGUGUUUUUUCUGCCUCAGCAAACGACAGGAGCAGCUCUGGCACCAACGAAACCCAUUAACUCACUCAUUCACCCAGGAAAACCCAUUAAAAUACAGAUAAACCAACAGCCUGUGGUGGGCGGCGCUAG